rnacentral:rRNA from 1 species
AUACGUAGGUGGCGAGCGUUAUCCGGAUUUACUGGGUGUAAAGGGCGCGUAGGCGGGGUUGCAAGUCAGGUGUGAAAUCUAGGGGCUCAACCCCUAAACUGCACUUGAAACUGCAGAUCUUGAGUGUCGGAGAGGUUGAAGGAAUUCCUAGUGUAGCGGUGAAAUGCGUAGAUAUUCGGAGGAACACCAGUGGCGAAGGCGGUCAACUGGACGAUAACUGACGCUGAGGCGCGAAAGCGUGGGGAGCAAACAGGAUUAGAUACCCUGGUAGUCCGCGCCGUAAACGAUGAAUACUAGGUGUGGGGGGACUGACCCCCUCCGUGCCGCAGUUAACACAAUAAGUAUUCCACCUGGGGAGUACGGCCGCAAGGUUGAAACUCAAAUGAAUUGACGGGG